rnacentral:lncRNA from 1 species
UUUGACGACAAUACUUAAGUUUUCACACGAACGACUAACAUGAGACUAAUAAAUAUUUACAUAUAUAACGUAAUACAUUGAUGCAUGUAUAUAUAUGUAUAACCAUUUGUAUAGUAAAUAAAUUGUAAUGUCGUAUAAAUAAUAUUUUUACAAGUAAAUAAAUUAAUUUUGAAAAAAAAAAAAAAAAAAAAAAAAAAAAAAAAAAAAAAAAAAAAAAAAUGAAAGAGAAAAGAGUAAGAAGUUCAAUUUAAUAUUUUUUAUAUAUUUAAAAAAAAUUAAAAGAAAAAAAAAAUUAAAAAAAAAAGUUAAAUUUAGUUCAAAUAGUGUUAUUUUCAUGUUUUUUUGGAUAAUAUUACAAAAAGUACAAACAAGUACAAAUAUAUACAUGCAAAUAAGUUGAUAAUUUUGUUGUGCCAAUAAUUAAUAAUAUUGAGUAAAGUAUAUAACAACACAUAUAACAUAUUAUAUAUAUAAUAAACAUUUGCCUUCCUAAUUACAUAUAAUUUUGAUAUAUACUUGUAAAAAAUGGAUUUCCCUAAAUUACUUAAUAAACCUUCAUUAGAAUUACUCAAAAAUGAUUUCCCACACGCAAACAAAUUCGAAUUAGAACAUACAAGUGUUUCUAAGCAACCACUUCUUAAAAGUGGACUCACCUUUUCAAACAACACUUACAGUAUAUACACCAAUUUAAAAAAUAGCGUUUACAACACUAACAAUGAAAUAAAGUUUGAUAAAACGGGUAUUAGUUUACUAGACAUCAAAUAUGAACCAAAAUUUGUUAAAAAUUUAAACUUAUGUGGAAAAUAUACAAAAAGCAACGAAAAAGAAGCUGAUGCAUAUGAAGUAUAUGGUGAAUAUAAUACAAAUAGUAUGAACGUAUUUACAUCAGUAAAUGUCAGAAACUUAUAUUUUAAGUAUAUUCAUGUUGGAUCACAUCCAAAGUUUCCAGAAUUAAAAAUUGGAGGUACAUUACAAGGACACUUAGACAAUAAAAACUUACAAUACUCAAUAGGAGGGGCCUAUACUAAAAAUUAUUUUGAUAAAAAAUAUAUUAUUUCUUUUAGAUCUUUACCAACCAAUAAACACAUUUGCGGAUCAUUAGCUUUUAAUUUAUAUUAUCAGAACAAAANNNNNNNNNNUUUUUUUCUCCAUCCCCAUUUCCACUUCUUCACCACCACCAGCACCAUCCAAUUUGUUAAAAAAGUUUGCAUUUUUAUUACAAAGCAAUACAUUUUUGUUUAUAUUCAUACAAUUGUUUUCUCUUAUUUUUUUUUCCUUUAUUAAAUUAUAUUUUUUCAAACAAAAAUGAUAAAACAUAGAAUUUAAAAUAUGUAUACAUAAAUUUAUUACAUGUAAAUAUGUUUUAUCAUAGUUUUUUGUAUGAUUAUAUUUACUCAAAUGUGUUUGUAAAAAAUAACAUAUACAUUCUUCAAUUAUGUUUUUUUUUAAAUACAUAUGAAAUGAACUAUGAAAUUCUAUCAUAACCAAAAAAGAAGUUAAUAAAUAUUUUAAAUAUUUAUAAUAAUAUUUAGGU